GGUCCGGGACUGUCUUCAGUCCCGAGGUCGUCUCGGCGCGGUUCCGAGCGGUCGCUCCCUCGCGAGGUGCCGCGGGUCAGCGGCUGACGCCAGCCACCUUCCCGACCCGUCUUGAAACACGGACCAAGGAGUCUAACAUGUGCGCGAGCCGCGGGGCUGUACGAAACCCGUAAGGCGAAAUGAAGGUGAACGCCGGCGCGGUCCGGCGGAGGUUGGAUCCCGUCCCGUCGGGGCGGGCGCACUACCGGCCGAUCUUCUCCGCCCUGUCGGCGAGGUCGAGCGAGAGCGUGCAAGUCGGGACCCGAAAGAUGGUGAACUAUGCCUGAGGAGGUUGAAGCCAGAGGAAACUCUGGUGGAGGACCGUAGCGAUUCUGACGUGCAAAUCGAUCGUCAAAUUUGGGUAUAGGGGCGAAAGACUAAUCGAACCGUCUAGUAGCUGGUUCCCUUCGAAGUUUCCCUCAGGAUAGCUGGCGCUCUGUCGCAGUUUUAUCUGGUAAAGCGAAUGAUUAGAGGUCUUGGGGGCGAAACGCCCUCAACCUAUUCUCAAACUUUAAAUUGGUAAGAAGCCCGACUCGCUCGUUUGGAGCCGGGCAUGGAAUGCGAGUGCCAAGUGGGCCACUCUUGGUAAGCAGGACUGGCGAUGCGGGAUGAACCGAACGCCGGGUUAAGGCGCCCGACGCGACGCUCAUCAGAGCCCACAAAAGGUGUUGGUUGAUAUAGACAGCAGGACGGUGGCCAUGGAAGUCGGAAACCGCUAAGGAGUGUGUAACAACUCACCUGCCGAAUCAAUCAGCCCUGAAAAUGGAUGGCGCUGG
rnacentral:ncRNA from 1 species